AUGAUCAUCAGAGAAAGUUCUGGUGGUAUUCACUCUUAUCUUGGCCAGGAGGUUUCCUUUUUUUUCCAGGAAACCCUCAUUUCCGGUCACCCGGGGCUUCCGGUGCUGCCUGCAGCUGUCAGCCGUCUUCUGAAGGCCCCUGUGCGGCGGAAGCCGGGUCCCGCUCCCGGAAGUCACCGCGGGUGGCUCUUCGGGUCAGGCUGCAGCUGUCUUCCUUCUCGUUGUUCAUCUCCACCGAGGCAAAAGACAGAAGAGAGGGAGAAAUCCAGCAGGCCUCCCCCCAGACCUUCCAAGUAUGGGCGCCUGAGUAGGGCCGGCACCAGAGCUGCGCAGUGUGCAGGAUCGGCCGUGGCUCCAUGCCCAGACCGGCCGCUUGCGGACAGCAGAGCCGCCUCUCCCUGGGCCUCCGAGGACCAACGUUCUUAUUCCUUAACCCGCCUUCGGCCCGGGUUUGGGGUCGGGGAGCUGGGGCAUCUCACAAUGCGAGGCCCCAGGUCACCACAAGAUAGCUGCGCUGAGGCCAUUUCCUCACGUGGACACCCUCCCCUUGGUGUAGGAGGAGGCGCCCCCCCCCCCCCCCCGCACCGAGGGUGCAAAACAAGGGGGCGGAGUCCCGGUCACAUUUCACCUGUCUGCGCCCCUUCUCGGUUUCAUUGUAUUUGUUCAUUAUCCUGCUGUAUUAAUGCUUCUGUGUUCCCCCUUUUGGACUCAAUUCCAGGGGUGCAGGUCCGGGUCCCUGCUUUGACGGCAGCGCCAGGUCCUGGGAAACCUGCGCCCCUGCCCCAGAAAGCUGGUCGCGCUCUCGGACUUGUGGAGCAGUCGCAGCCCAGGAAGAAAAGUCGAAGACUUGAGGGGGCAACAGCGCAGGGACCACUGUGGCGCCCCGGGGGCCUGCGGUUCCCAGGGCCGCUCCCACCCGCCCCUAGCAACGGCCCACCGGCCCACCCUAGGGACAGCGAGUUCGAGGCCAGCCUGGGCUACUUAGCGAGUUGCUGCCUCAAAAAAAGAGGCCAGGUUGGAGGAGGUCACAGUGACAGUGACGAGGCAGAAGGCGAAGGGAGAGCAACCUCCCCCACGGCUGUGCCCCAAAAGACUGAAACUGGCAGUGCCAGCCUGGCGUGGUGGUGCAUGCCUGUCAUUCCGGCACUCUGGAAGGCUGAAGCAGGAGGAUGGCAAGUUGUAGACCAGCCCAGAAGGGGUCCAGCUAAUCGAUGCAGACGGAAUGGUGGGGAAGAUGACCACCCAGGGACUUCCAGCUGGCCUGGGUGCUGAGCAUCAACGGCUGCUGGUGUGACACUUGGAAGCCACUAGACAUCAUGGCCUCCUGGGCAGAAUGCAUGUUCUGCGAGGUACUCAGAGCCCCCAGUUAUCUGAUCAGGCCUCUAGAUGGGUCAUGGCGAGGUUAUGGCACAAGUGUCGCAGCCAGCUGUUUGUUAUCAUUGAAAGCACUAAAAGGUUCGCCAUCCCUGCUGUAGAUUCAACUAUCAAAUUACAGGAAGUGCAAAAGACAGAAAUGUGUCACAUUACAUCACAGUUUUUUUUUUUUUUUGGUACCCAGGAUCGAACUUCGGACCUUGCACUUGCGAGGCAGUUGCCGGAACCACUGAGCUAAAUCCCUGGUCCUUACGUCACAGUUUUGUAAUCAUCAGAAUCUAGAUGUGGCUAAUCUGUAAUAUCCAUGGUGUGGCUACUUUGAUGACCAAUUGUCAAAAAAAAAAAAGGUAAAAGGUAAAAGGUGAAGCUUGCAUUAAAGGGGAUUUCAGGACAUCAACCAAUCACAAUGUGGUCAUCUCAUGUAGCUCUUGAGUUUGUGAAACUGAAUCUUAAACUAAAACUUAAAAAUGUUCUUGAAAAAAAAAACCUUGGAAAUCUGAAUGGUGACUGAAAGUG
rnacentral:lncRNA from 1 species